rnacentral:rRNA from 1 species
UCUAAUGAGACUGCCGGUGACAAGCCGGAGGAAGGUGGGGAUGACGUCAAGUCCUCAUGGCCCUUAUAGGUGGGGCUACACACGUCAUACAAUGGCUGGUACAAAGGGUUGCCAACCCGCGAGGGGGAGCUAACCCCAUAAAGCCAGUCGUAGUCCGGAUCGUAGUCUGCAACUCGACUACGUGAAGUCGGAAUCGCUAGUAAUCGUGGAUCAGAAUGUCACGGUGAAUACGUUCCCGGGCCUU